UAUAGUAAUACAUCUUUGACACCUGCCGCGCCAAAACCAAAUUAAAGAAACAAAACCCUUCCCCGGAUCAGCACCACCACCGCCUAAGUAUUUCCCCACGUUCUCCAUCCUUUUUCCUUCUCCCACCACGGCUUCCACAGUUAAGAUUGAGUUCCCAAUUGAACUCAAGAACUCAAGAGUUCAAUCCCAAUCUAAGUUGACUCAAAUCGAAAUUUCCCAAAUCCAAAAUUACAGAGUUCUCUUCAAUCCAGAUCUAGAUAUUUCCGUAUGUAUCUUCUUCUCCGGCGAACGUUGGCGGCAUUUUCUGGCGAACAUAUUUCCCCGAUGCGUGUGAUUGAAUUAUCAAUUAUAACAUUUAGGGUUAGCAAGAGAGAGAAAUCCUGGUUUCUAAAGAAAGGAGGGCAGUGUUGGAGUAACUUCAAAUCUGAUAAUAUCAAGAAAUUGGUUGUUUGAUCAAGAUGGGAAGUUGCGAGAAAAGCCCCUAAGAAAUAUGACUUUAUUGAUAGCAUCCAUUGGAAAUUCUUUGUCAAAAGUCGUCUUUCUGAUGAAUUUCAGGAAAAAAGUGAGGCUAGUCGAGAGUGUGCAAGUGAUAAUCACUAUCUUCAAGCGAAAGGACGAAGAGGUUGUGCUAGAUUUGAACAAAAUGUGGUGUGUAUUAAAGUUAUUAUAUUUACAUUAUACGAUGUUGUUUAUUUUCUGGAUCCUCUGAACAAUGAAAAGUACAAGGACACAGGAAAAGGAGUUCAAGAUGAUUUGUGUAAGAUUGUAGACAGGAUUAUACAGAAAAUUGGACAUUGGUCAAAGCAUAUGUCCCACUUCGCCUAGCAAGGAUCCUUACACCGAUGAGACAGUUGUAUGUAUCACCGUAGUUUCAGCAUAUACACGAUCUGGAACUCGACCUGUGAAAUUAUACACAAAUUUGCCAAGAAUAUUUGGGUAAACAGGAGCUGUGUUGUGCUAUAUUUUGACACUUUAGAUCAAGCACUUGUGUAUCAAUGUAACUCUAGCACUUUUUGGUUUUCGAACCGAAAAAGGAUUGUUGAAGAAAAUUAAAAUGAGCACCAAGUGGAUACAGAUACAAUGUCCUCGGCAAAAGAAUGUCAUGGAUUCUGGAUAUUAUGUCAUGAGAUACAUGAAAGAGAUCAUCGACUAUAAGCAAACUCGAAUAUUUGAAGAUUACUUUCAUGAUUGCAAUGUUCCGAAUUACGAUCAAGGAGAAAUUGAUGAAGUCAGAGCUCAAUGGACGCUUGAUGUUCUUCUCAUGUGAAUAUUGUGAUGUCUUAAUUAUGUUUUUCGACUAGAAUUUUUCUGGAACGUUUUAAUUUUUUUUAUUGGUUUGAAAUUAAAAGAAGUACUAUAUGACAAGGAUACUUCUUUCUGUUUUGUAGUGUAUUUUUAUUCUACUGUGUAUUUAGGCAUAUAUGAUUUUAAGUUAUGUACGAGACAUCAAGACGUUUAUUUGAUAUGAUAGAAAUGAAGUUCGAUGUUA